GCCAGUGUGGCAUAGUGGUUUGAGUGUUGGACUAUGGCUCUGGAGACUAGGGUUCCAUUCCCAGCUCUGCCA